AAUUUUUAUUCUCAGAUGUCACGGAGUUUGAUUCGAGAGGAACUGAAACAACUUAUUCAACCUUAUAGAGAAUAGUGCAGACCGACUAAAUGGUUGCCAGCUGUCGCGGUUAUAACCUGGAGUGUGUAUCGUUAACAUUAACGCAUAUUUAAACGGGUAUAGUGAAAUAUUCCCGAUAAAUUAUUACUAAAUCUAAUAAUUUACUCAGAUUAGAUACCUGACUAGCUAGAUUUUCUCAAUACUCUGGAAUUCUUACAGAAGAGAAUUUGCCAGCUUAUUCACUCAGAGGAGCCUGAGAGUUAAUAUGAUACCCCUCAUUAUUUACCUCUCUUUAAAGAUUUCAAAUCGCUGUCUAACUUUUAAAAAAGUGUAAGGGACGCCUCCUGCUAGUCAAGUGAGAUAAAUCAUAUAGACAGGAGCUCUUGUGCUACAGAGGAACCUCCUCUAAAAGGUCGGAUUUGACGGUAAUAUUAAACCAUUAAGGUUUUAUGAUGUUGCAGUGUAAGGAGACAAAUAGCUCGAUGACUCUGUAAAGAGUAAGUCGCA
rnacentral:rRNA from 1 species